rnacentral:rRNA from 1 species
GCCCGCCGCGCGCGGCGGGCGGGGCGGGGGCACGGGGGGCCUACGGGAGGCAGCAGUGAGGAAUAUUGGACAAUGGCCGGAAGGCUGAUCCAGCCAUGCCGCGUGAAGGAUAAGGUCCUAUGGAUUGUAAACUUCUUUUGAGUGGGAGCAAUAAGGAUGUCGUGACAUCCGAUGAGAGUACCAUUCGAAUAAGCAUCGGCUAACUCCGUGCCAGCAGCCGCGGUAAUAAU